rnacentral:rRNA from 1 species
GAUGAACGCUAGCUACAGGCUUAACACAUGCAAGUCGAGGGACCGGCGCACGGGUGAGUAACACGUAUCCAACCUGCCCUUUACUCGGGGCUAGCCUUUCGAAAGAAAGAUUAAUACACGAUAUAAAGGAUGGGGAUGCGUUCCAUUAGGUUGUUGGGGAGGUAACGGCUCACUAAGCCUUCGAUGGAUAGGGGUUCUGAGAGGAAGGUCCCCAACAUUGGAACUGGGACACGGGCCAAACUCCUACGGGAGGCAGCAGUGAGGAAUAUUGGUCAAUGGGCGGUAGCCUGAACCAGCCAAGGAGCGUGAAGGAUGAAGGCUUAUGGGUCGUAAACUUCUUUUAUAUAAGAAUAUGUAUUAUAUGAAUAAGGAUCGGCGAACUCCGUGCCAGCCGCCGCGGUAAUC